GCUGGAGGAGAGUGGAUGGUACUCUGAGCUGGCUGCUCAGACGCCACCAAGACCUGGCCCUGAGAGAGACUGCCUGACUUGGCCGGAGGGCUGAAUCACCGAAGACCCACCACAAAGAAAGAGAGAGUGCAGUCACACACACUCAGCCAGGGGGUGCUCACGAGAGAGAAUCUGGACCCUACAUGGAACGAGACUUGGCACCGAGUAAGCUGGUAGUACUGACUUUGUGAAACCAGACUGGACAGUAGUUGAGCAGUUGGAGCUGACUUCAUAGAAAGUAGGAAGCCUGGAGGAGCUGAUUUUGUGGAAUCUGACCUGGCAGCUGCAGAUCUGAGAGAAACUUGAUCGUGCAGACUUCACUGGACUGCAGUGGACUAGUUGUGGAGAUCUGUCUCCUGGUGCCCAACUUGACCACCACUGACUCUAACUGGAUUCACAAGUGAGGUGUAGAUGGGUGUGGAUUAUGUUGUGAUUAAGAGUUUUGGGAUUCCAGUCAAUUGCAUUUAAUUGAGCAAAGGAAGAGAUCAGAGCUGGAAAG